rnacentral:miRNA from 1 species
UCUCUCUCUCUCUCUCUCUCUCUCUCUCUCUCUCACACACACACACACUAAGAGAGAGAGAGAGAGAGAGAGAGAGAGAGA